rnacentral:rRNA from 1 species
GAUGAACGCUAGCGGCAGGCUUAACACAUGCAAGUCGAGGGGUAUGGUUCUUCGGAACCAGAGACCGGCGCACGGGUGCGUAACGCGUAUGCAACCUACCUUCAACUGGGGGAUAGCCCGGGGAAACCCGGAUUAAUACCGCAUAACACAAUGGAGUCUCAUGGUUUUAUUGUUAAAGAUUUAUUGGUUGAAGAUGGGCA